rnacentral:rRNA from 1 species
AUUGAACGCUGGCGGCAGGCUUAACACAUGCAAGUCGAGCGGGGAAAGGUAGCUUGCUACCUGACCUAGCGGCGGACGGGUGAGUAAUGCUUAGGAAUCUGCCUAUUAGUGGGGGACAACAUUCCGAAAGGAAUGCUAAUACCGCAUACGCCCUACGGGGGAAAGCAGGGGAUCUUCGGACCUUGCGCUACUAGAUGAGCCUAAGUCAGAUUAGCUAGUUGGUGGGGUAAAGGCCUACCAAGGCGACGAUCUGUAGCGGGUCUGAGAGGAUGAUCCGCCACACUGGGACUGAGACACGGCCCAGACUCCUACGGGAGGCAGCAGUGGGGAAUAUUGGACAAUGGGCGCAAGCCUGAUCCAGCCAUGCCGCGUGUGUGAAGAAGGCCUUUUGGUUGUAAAGCACUUUAAGCGAGGAGGAGGCUACUUGGAUUAAUACUCUAGGAUAGUGGACGUUACUCGCAGAAUAAGCACCGGCUAACUCUGUGCCAGCCGCCGCCGUAAAAC